UGGGUUUGACAUCCCAAGAACUCUGUGGAAACAUAGAGGUGCCUCGCAAGAGGAGCUUGGAGACAGGUGCUGCAUGGCUGUCGUCAGCUCGUGUCGUGAGAUGUUGGGUUAAGUCCCGCAACGAGCGUAACCCCUGCCCUUAGUUGCCAUCAUUAAGUUGGGCACUCUAAAGGGACUGCCGGUGAUAAACCGGAGGAAGGUGGGGACGACGUCAAGUCCUCAUGGCCUUUAUGCCCAGGGCUACACACGUGCUACAAUGGCCGGUACAAAGGGAAGCAAUACGGUGACGUUGAGCCAAUCCCAAAAAACCGGUCUCAGUUCGGAUUGGAGUCUGCAACCCGACUUCAUGAAGGCGGAAUCGCUAGUAAUCGUGGAUCAGCACGCCACGGUGAAUACGUUCCCGGGCCU
rnacentral:rRNA from 1 species